GAAUAUUGGACAAUGGGCGCAAGCCUGAUCCAGCCAUACCGCGUGGGUGAAGAAGGCCUUCGGGUUGUAAAGCCCUUUUGUUGGGAAAGAAAAGCAGUCGAUUAAUACUCGGUUGGUCUGACGGUACCCAAAGAAAAACCACCGGCUCACUUCGUGCCAGCAGCCGCGGUAAUACGAAGGGUGCAAGCGUUACUCGGAAUUACUGGGCGUAAAGCGUGCGUAGGUGGUUGUGUAAGUCUGUUGUGAAAGCCCUGGGCUCAACCUGGGAAUUGCAGUGGAUACUGAGCGACUAGAGUGUGGGAGAGGGAAGUGGAAUUCCCGGUGUAGCAGUGAAAUGCGUAGAGAUCGGGAGGAACAUCCAUGGCGAAGGCAGCUACCUGGACCAACACUGACACUGAGGCACGAAAGCGUGGGGAGCAAACA
rnacentral:rRNA from 1 species